ensembl:rRNA 5S_rRNA 5S ribosomal RNA
GGAUUUCAGUCCACCGCCAUACCACCCUGAACGUGUCUGAUCUCGUCAGCUAAGCAGGGUUGGGCCUGGUUAGUAUUUGGAUGGGAAAGAUAGGAUUUCAAAUUCC